GGUCUAAUAGUGUAGCGGUUAUCACAAUGGAUUCUGACUCCCAGUCUGAUUUCCAUUAACCCAGGUUCGAUUCCUGGUUAGACCU